AACGAGGCCGACCUGCGGCUGAGUUACCUGCGGAAGGAUCAUUACAGAGUUAUCUAACUCCCAAACCCAUGUGAACUUACCUUUGUUGCCUCGGCAGUAGUUGCUGGGCGAGCCUACCCGGGAACGAGCUACCCUGUAGCGAGUUACCCUGGAACGACUUACCCUGUAACGCCUGCCGGUGGACUACUAAACUCUUGUUAUUUUUAAAGUAAUCUGAGCGUCUUAUUUUAAUAAGUCAAA
rnacentral:misc_RNA from 1 species